AAUAUGUCCUGUAGGCUGGGCGCGGUGGCUCACACCUGUAGUCCCAGCACCUUGAGAGGCCAAGGCGGGUGGAUCACCUGAGGUCAGGAGUUCAAGACAAGCCUGGCCAACAUGGUGAAACCCUGUCUCUACUAAAAGUACAAAAAAUAAGCCGGGUGUGGUGAUGCAUACCUGUAAUCCCAGCUACUCGGGAGGCUGAGGCAGGAGAAUUGCUUGAACCCAGGAGGUGGAGGUUGCAGCGAGCCGAGAUCGCGCCAUUGAACUCCAGCCUGGGCAACAAGAGUGAAACUCUGUCUCAAAAACAAACAGAAAAACAAAUAAAAAAUCAAAAAAACCCACAAUAUGUCUUGGACAUCUUUCUGUAAUGGUACAUAAGCAGACAAUGUAAAUUUGGACCUUACUUUGGUCAAAGCAUGUCUGUCUCCUCCCUGGCCCAGGGUCACUUUAUGGAAGCCACCUUCUAUUACCUGUUACCUUCCAUGACUCAUAGUCUGCUGUCUGCUUCUGACUCCUCAGUUGUUGGAUUUCCCCAUCCACUGCAGUGGGAUGGAGACAAGCAGCCCCAUCACAUAAGUAUCGGGGAAGAAAGUGAUAAAUAGGUUCUCAGUGUAUAGGCAGAGGAAUUUUAAAGGACUCCAUGGUGGGGUGAAAGGUCUGGAAAUGUUUACUUGGUGACUGCACUUCAGGGAGCUUCAUGGGUGGGUAAGAGGGAGGGAGAGAAUAUUCACUUAGUGCCAAUUGCCUGGCACUAUGCCAUGUGAAUGUGAUACUGAUUUGACAGUGAUGCCAACUCAGGCUUUAUUUAUUCCUGUGGGCAAGUGAAACCUCAGAGAAGUUAAGUAACUUGCCCAGGGUUGCUCAGAGGUGCCGAGACAUGAGCUGAAGUCUGUCUGACUGCGUGGUGUAGGCUCGUUCUAUUGUAUGAUGAAAAGAAGAGGCUGGUGCCACCAAAAAAGCUUAAGGCCAUUGCUGGAGAGAGUGGGUGUGGUACGACCACACUGGGGGACUGUGGCGGAGUCAGCUAAAACUGGCCAUGUGCUUGCCAGCGUUCCCACCCCUGGGUAUACACCCAAGAGAAAGGCGUGCAGGUGCUCACCAAACAUAUAUACCAAUGUGUCCACAGUAACAUGGACCCUAACAGCUAAAAAACUGGAAGCUGCCCAGAUGUCCAUCAACAGUAGAAUGAAUUCCAGUGCACUCACACAAUGGAAUACUAUAUAGCAAUAAAUAAAAGGAAUGGAUAUUUGCAACAACAUGGAUUAACCUCAAAAAUGUUAUGUUGGCAGGGUAUGAUGGCUCAUGUACCCCCAGCACUUUGAGAGGCCAAGGCAGGUGGAUUGCUUGAGCUCAGGAGUUCAAGACCAGCCUGGGCAACAAGGCGAAACCCCGUCUCCACAAAAAAUACAGAAAUUAGCUGGGCAUGGUGGUGCGUGCCUAUAGUCUCAGCUACUGGGGAGGCUGAGGUGGGAGAAAUGCUUGAACCCAGAAGGUUGAGUCCGCAGUGAGCUGUGAUCAUGCCACUGCACUCCAGCCUGAGCAACAGAGCAAGAUUCCAUCUCAAAACAGCAACAGCAACAACAACAACACAACAAAAACCCUCAAAACAUUAUGUUGAGUUAAAGAAGCCGGACAAAAGGCUAUGUACUAUAUGAUUUCUUUUAUGUAACGUUCAAGAACUUGCAAAACUAAUCUACUGUGUUGGAAAUGAGGGGCUGGGGGUGGCGGCUGGGCAGGAGUGGGAUGGGGGCACUUCCUGGGGUAACGGAAGUGUUCCACAUCUUGAUCUGGGUGGCGGUUGCAUGGGCAUACACGUUGGUAAAAAUGCAUCAAGUUAUACAUGGAAGAAAGUUUCAAGAGUCUGAGAAUGCCUCCCUCCAUUCUCCCAUUCCAAAACAUGGUCAUAUUGGCCCAGCUAAUUUCCUCCUUGCAGCAGAGAUGACACAUCUGAGAGCAGAUAAAGGGAGGAGGGGCCCUCUUAGGCCCCACUGGCUGCCUGGUGAUAAGCAGUGACCUCAAAUUAAUAUAGGAUGUCACUGUUUACCAGCUCCAUUGCCUGUAUCCCCUUAUCCUCUCUGCAUCUGCAACCACGAAAGAGGGGUUGGGAUUGUUCCACAGCAGAGGAAAUGGAGGUUCUCGGAAGGACCUCGGGGAGGCCAUGCAAGGCUACUCGGCUUGGAGAGGACAUGACCUCGUGGGGAAGGGAGCAACCCGGGGAGGAAGCCGAGGGGGAGCCUUUGGACACACAGGCAGGGACAGGCGCCAGAGGGGGCACCUCCUGCAGUGUGCUGCCUCCACAUCAAUAAUUGCAUAAUGUGGAUACCAUUUAUGAUUGACAGUUCCAAAAACCAAACUCACUCACUACAGAUGAGCAAGGAAGAGCAAGAGCCAUUCAGAAGUGAGGAGGUAUGACGUACAAGGAACACAGGAUAUGUUUCAUGCUGUGAUGAAGUUUCACAAUAGACUUGGCAUAGAUUGAAACCCAAAGGGCUCUAUCAGAAGUGGCAAAUGUGGCACGCUCAGGCCAACACCCAUGCCAAUGAUUCCUAUAAAAUUCCCAUUGCCUGGUAGAAGUUCACAGGAGAGGAAAGUUCUUUCCUGCACCAGGUUCUAUGGAGAAUUGGUUGCAUGGUUUCUCGUGCUGUGGGCAUCAGGGACUUCAGGUGAAGGUAUUUAGCUGUGGCUUUGUGCAAACCUCAGAACUGUGUCCUCCAAGGGCCUGGGGUAUUUGGCAGGCGCUGUCUCUUGCUGCCUUUGCUGCUGUAUGACAGGUGAGUAAUAUGUUAUAUCCUAUUUCUUGGGAGCUGCCUGGAGUGUCUGCCCCUCCUGCAAACAAAUGUAGGAGUGAAGCACCUCUAGUUUGAGUCACCUUAACUUACUAGGUCCUGUUGGGGGUGAGCUCAAGGGUAACUCCAAGGUGCAGAGUGAGUUAGGCUGCUGGUUCAGUUCUUGAGAAUUGCCUGUCUAAUUAGUGGUCUGCCAAACUUAAUGGUAGAGUUACAGAAGGCUGUAUUCUUUAUAAUGACUGGCUGGGCUGUUUGUUGAGACUCCUUAUUUGUGUAGGACAAUCAAGCCAUCAACACGCAGGCAGAGUUGUUGCUCUACUAAGGUGGCAGCCAGGACAUCUAAUCUUGUGUUAUGUAUUUAAUAUUAAAAAAGGGGGUCGUUCACUGCCCUGUUUCAUACUGUUCAGCUUGAGACUGGUAGGUACAAAAGUCUUCUCACUUCCCAUGAUUCUAGCGGUGAUUGUUUAACACCGAUUUUGCCAGAACGUUCAAAGCCUGGAUCUCUCUCAGAGAAUGCAAAGUGUUAGGCACAUUUUAUUUCUGCAAACUCUGUGUUUGUGCAAUUUCAAUGCGUUGGAUUGGGUAUUCCCUCUCCAUUUCACUGUAGUCCCAGCUACUCCCUUUUGUCUUAGAUCUGCUACCAUCCCACUCCCAUACAUGGGGCACAUGGGGUUACACAGCUGUCUUUCAUCCCCAGUUCAAGGUCAUGUGGCCACUUUAUUAUGCCUUGAAGCUCUUUCUUCUCUUCUAUGAGCUACUUGGGUGUGCUUUCUGUUACUUGAGCCAUUGGUUCCUCCUCUUUUGCUCAAAUUAGUUUGGGUUAGGCUUCUGUCACUUCUGAUCAGUUCAAACUAAUUAAAAUUGGUUCCAGGACUGGAGUUUUACAUUUGGUCUGUCAUUUCACUGGGUCUCUUUCUAAUACCCUCAACUCUCUUACCCCCUGUUUUGUUAAAGCCAAUUGACACAAUUCCAAUCAGCAUUCAGUCUACAGCUACGGCUGGGCCACCAUCAGUUGCUGCUGGAAAAAAACAGAGCCACACCUGCUGGCCGAAGCAAAGCAAAUAACAACACUGCCUGCAGAAUCUUUCCAGGGACUUAACAUAUUUAAAGCAGAAAUUCUGCUUCUUCCUAAAUCUAAUCUACCCUUGGUCUUCCACAUUUGAGUAAGUGGUACCACCAUUUGGCCCAGGGCAAACACCUGGGCCAUCAUCAACUCCUUUUUCUUUCAUAUUCCACAUCUGAUCAUCAGAUUUGCAAUCAGCAAAUCUUGUUGGCUCUCCCUACAAAACACAUCCUGAGUCUGAUGACUUUGAGCCUCCUUCACCGCUCCUCACAUCUCUGCUGUGUAUGGCUGCAACAGCCUCCUAAGUGGGGUUCCUUUUUCCACGACUGUCCCUUUUAGCCUGUCCUCUACACAGCAGCAGCAUGAUCCUUUCAAAAUAUAAAUCCAGCCACGCCACUUCCCUGGUUCUUAGUAACAACCAUCAUGCUAACGAUCAAAGGUGAUUUCCAACAUCCUAUGUGAUCUGUCUCCCUGGGUCGCACCUCCUCUCCACCCUCUCCUUCCCUUUACCCUGGCUGUCCUCCUUAACUGAAAUGCCCCCGUACCCCAGAUAUUUGCAAGGCUCUUUGCUGCUGCCUUCAGAUCUCUACUCAGAUGUCACUUCUUUGGGAAGACUUCCUGAGCAAAAGACUUCCUUGAGCACCUUGUUUCCACAGCCUCCCGCACUCUCUGCUCUCUCAUCCUGCCUGUUUCUUCAUAGUCCUUCUCUUUCCCCGAUGUUUUUGGUUUUGAUGUUUAUGUGUUUAUUUAUUUUCCCUCAACCCCGAAUGUAAGUUCUAUGUUCACUUCUGCACGUCCAAUGAGUCCAAAAUAGUGCCUAGCAUAAUAGGUUAUCAAUAAAUAUUUGCAGAAUGAAUAAGCAAGGGAUUGAAGAAGCCAAGAUAAAUGGUGGAAAUCCGGAGGACACCCCUCUCCACCAUCAUUUGUCAAUAGGCAAUUUGGUCUCUUGCUUCAUAGACAAAAUAGAAGCCACCUGGAGGCAACUUCCUCACCCAUCGACAAGCUCACCAGCCUUCAUGCCUGUCCUUUGGAGCUUCCCUGCAGACAGUGGCAGCUAGUUCUCAAUUUGGUGUGGUGUCCUAGCCCCACCUGUGGAGUCAAGUCCCACCUCCUACCUCAAUCAGAACCUGAGUUUUUUUCCAACACGAGCUCCAGGAAACAACUUUUGGCUUCAUGAUCCUCUCUUUUGUAAGUAUAUUCUUAAUUUUAUUAACUUCUGUUCUUAUCUUUAUUAUUUUCUUUUUUCUACUUUGUUUAGGCUUAAUGUACUGUUCUUUUUCUUUCUGAGGUGGGUGCUUCUUAAUUUUGGCUUUCCUCCUUUCUAACAUGUGCCUUUAAAGCUAUGAAUUUUCCUUUAAUCAUGGCCUUGACUUCCUCUCAUAAGUUUUAAUGUCUGCAGAAUCUGUAGUGAUGUCCUGUUUCAGUCUUGAUAUUGGUAAUUUGGGCCUUCUCUUUCCUUUUGUUCACCUUACUAGAGGUUCAUUACUUUUAUGAUUUUUUUUUUCAAAGAACCAGCUUUUUGUUUCACUUACUUUUCUCCAGUUUUCCUGUUUUCCAUGUCAUUGAUUUCUACUAUUAUCUUUAGUAUUUCCUGCCUUCUGUUUGCUUUGAGUUUAAUUUGCUCUUCUAUUUUCUAGUUUUGAAGCAGUGUCGUUGUCUGGGUAAAUACCUGAGGUUUGUUGUCUCACAACAAGGAAAAUUGAGUAUGUGGACACACAGGAAGUGGGUUUAGGAGCUGAGGUUUAAUAGGCAAAAGAAAGAGAAAGGAGACUAGAAUAGCACUCUCUCCUGCCAGAGAGAGGGGCUCCUGAGUGGGACUUCCAGCCUGCAGCAAAGUGCUCUGGAUUUUAUAGGCUGGCUUGAGGAGGCGCUGUCUGAUUUAUAGGGGUCAAAGAUUGGUUGGACCAGGUUUGACGUCUACAUAGCAUGCGAGGAAGCUGGCGACCCCAUCCUAAUCUUCUAUUAUGCAAAUGGAGUUGUUACUUGGCCGGUGCCAUGUUGUCUUCUCCUCACUGUACACGUGGUUGGCAAAGAAAAGGAAGAUGGAGCCGCCAUGUUGAACAUGCCUAGCCCCCAGGUAGCCCCUUUCCUAUUGGCACAGCUGCCAGCAUGCACUCGUGCACAUUUUUAUGUCUGCAGCUCGACUUUACAGGCUGUUAUUUGUUAGAAAAGAGAAUGAUUGACCGGGUGCGGUGGCUCAC
rnacentral:lncRNA from 10 species